rnacentral:rRNA from 1 species
UAGCCUGCCCAGUGAUCCAUUUUAACGGCCGCAGUACCCUAACCGCGCGAAGGUAGCAUAAUCACUUGUUCUUUAAAUGAGGACUAGAAUCAACGGCACCACGAGGGUUAUACUGUCUCCUUUCUCUAAUCAGUGAAACUAAUCUCCCCGUGAAGAAGCGGGAAUAAAAUUAUAAGACGAGAAGACCCCAUGGAGCUUUAAACCUAGUUACACUCCGAACCUUUACACCCAACUAUUAUCCGAACCCUGUAAACUAGACUUUAGGUUGGGGUGACCGCGGAGU